GAUGAACGCUGGCGGCGUGCCUAAUACAUGCAAGUCGAGCGAACAGACGAGGAGCUUGCUCCUCUGACGUUAGCGGCGGACGGGUGAGUAACACGUGGAUAACCUACCUAUAAGACUGGGAUAACUUCGGGAAACCGGAGCUAAUACCGGAUAAUAUAUUGAACCGCAUGGUUCAAUAGUGAAAGACGGUUUUGCUGUCACUUAUAGAUGGAUCCGCGCCGCAUUAGCUAGUUGGUAAGGUAACGGCUUACCAAGGCAACGAUGCGUAGCCGACCUGAGAGGGUGAUCGGCCACACUGGAACUGAGACACGGUCCAGACUCCUACGGGAGGCAGCAGUAGGGAAUCUUCCGCAAUGGGCGAAAGCCUGACGGAGCAACGCCGCGUGAGUGAUGAAGGUCUUCGGAUCGUAAAACUCUGUUAUUAGGGAAGAACAAAUGUGUAAGUAACUAUGCACGUCUUGACGGUACCUAAUCAGAAAGCCACGGCUAACUACGUGCCAGCAGCCGCGGUAAUACGUAGGUGGCAAGCGUUAUCCGGAAUUAUUGGGCGUAAAGCGCGCGUAGGCGGUUUUUUAAGUCUGAUGUGAAAGCCCACGGCUCAACCGUGGAGGGUCAUUGGAAACUGGAAAACUUGAGUGCAGAAGAGGAAAGUGGAAUUCCAUGUGUAGCGGUGAAAUGCGCAGAGAUAUGGAGGAACACCAGUGGCGAAGGCGACUUUCUGGUCUGUAACUGACGCUGAUGUGCGAAAGCGUGGGGAUCAAACAGGAUUAGAUACCCUGGU
rnacentral:rRNA from 17 species